UACGGGGGGAGCAAGCGUUGUUCGGAUUUACUGGGCGUAAAGGGCGCGUAGGCGGCCACCGCAAGUCGACUGUGAAAUCUCCGGGCUUAACCCGGAAAGGUCAGCCGAUACUGCGGGGCUAGAGUGCAGAAGGGGCAACUGGAAUUCUCGGUGUAGCGGUGAAAUGCGUAGAUAUCGUAAGGAAGGCCAGUGGCGAAGGCGAGUCUCUGGACAGUUACUGACGCUGAGGCACGAAGGCUAGGGGAGCAAACGGG
rnacentral:rRNA from 1 species